rnacentral:rRNA from 1 species
UACGUAGGGGGCAAGCGUUGUCCGGAAUCAUUGGGCGUAAAGCGCGUGUAGGCGGUUCGGUAAGUCUGCUGUGAAAGUCCAGGGCUCAACCCUGGGAUGCCGGUGGAUACUGUCGAACUAGAGUACGGAAGGGGCGAGUGGAAUUCCCGGUGUAGCGGUGAAAUGCGCAGAUAUCAGGAGGAACACCGGUGGCGAAGACGGUUCUCUGGGCAUUACCUGACGCUGAGGAGCGAAAGUGUGGGGAGCGAACAGG